rnacentral:rRNA from 1 species
AGGGUUUGAUCAUGGCUCAGAACGAACGCUGGCGGCAGGCCUAACACAUGCAAGUCGAGCGAAGCCUUCGGGUUUAGCGGCGGACGGGUGAGUAACGCGUGGGAAUAUGCCCUUUGGUACGGAACAGUCCCGGGAAACUGGGUUUAAUACCGUAUGUGGUCCUUCGUAGUGGAUACGGGGGACGAAAGAUUUAUCGCCAAAGGAUUAGCCCGCGUUGGAUUAGGUAGUUGGUGGGGUAACGGCCUACCAAGCCGACGAUCCAUAGCUGGUUUGAGAGGAUGAUCAGCCACACUGGGACUGAGACACGGCCCAGACUCCUACGGGAGGCAGCAGUGGGGAAUCUUAGACAAUGGGGGCAACCCUGAUCUAGCCAUGCCGCGUGAGUGAUGAAGGCCCUAGGGUUGUAAAGCUCUUUCAGCUGGGAAGAUAAUGACGGUACCAGCAGAAGAAGCCCCGGCUAACUCCGUGCCAGCAGCCGCGGUAAUAC